CGUAAAAGACAUGCGCAGUAAUUCAAAGUUCCCGGAUGAAGAAACGGAAGUCUCGUCAGUUGGACAGGAUAGCUGUGUUCGGAUACUCAUACUAACCGUACUAUUUGUGACGUGGGUUUAGUAAAUCGUAUGCUUAUUGGUCAUAGUAUGGAUAUACAAGAAGCAACAGCAAAACGAUUCAAGACCUAGGGGUAUCAUCAUCCUAUUCACUGCCAGAUUCUACAGGGAUGAUGUCUGGAAAGCUGCUAGGAAGGACGCCUUCCUUCAGAGCCAUGGUAUGCGUUUCUCCGAGCAUCUCAGCCCGGAAGACAUAGAAAGAAGGAACAAGUUGUGGCCAACGAUCAAGAUAGCACGAAAUGAGGGAAAGGCUGCUUACUUCGUCGGAGGACGAGGCUUCAUCAACGGUUCAGAAAUCCAUAUUCCUCCCUAAAAUCUCACCAGAAGGAACAGGUUGAUGGUUUCAGCCAUUCUCAUUUUCCUUAUGUUGUUUACCUAACGAGCAUCAGGUGACUAUUUUUCAGGAAUACUCAGUUUCUCUUAAUGCUAGGGGGUUACGAAACAAUGUCAAGAGUCUCACUCAAUUUCGGCUGACGCCAACUUCUGGCUGAGACCAACUUCUGGAGGUCACAGUGGGGCAACGAUAUUUGGCUUUCCCAUGGAUCUGAACGCUCCGCCAGUGUCACUACAAUAAAAAAUACCUUUGGUGGUAAUAUUUUA